rnacentral:rRNA from 1 species
UACGAAGGGGCUAGCGUUGCUCGGAAUUACUGGGCGUAAAGCGCACGUAGGCGGCUUCUUAAGUCGGUGGUGAAAUCCUGGAGCUCAACUCCAGAACUGCCUUCGAUACUGGGAGCUCGAGUCCGGGAGAGGUGAGUGGAACUGCGAGUGUAGAGGUGAAAUUCGUAGAUAUUCGCAAGAACACCAGUGGCGAAGGCGGCUCACUGGCCCGGUACUGACGCUGAGGUGCGAAAGCGUGGGGAGCAAACAGGG